UACAGAGGUCUCAAGCGUUGUUCGGAUUCAUUGGGCGUAAAGGGUGCGUAGGCGGCGCGGUAAGUCGGGUGUGAAAUCUUGGAGCUUAACUCCGAAACUGCAUUCGAUACUGCCGUGCUUGAGGACUGGAGAGGAGACUGGAAUUUACGGUGUAGCGGUGAAAUGCGUAGAUAUCGUAAGGAACAUCAGUGGCGAAAGCGACUUCCUGGACCAAUACUGACGCUCAUGUGCGAAAGCGUGGGGAGCAAACAGG
rnacentral:rRNA from 1 species